UCUACUUUCUUCUCGUUUUCUUCCUUCUUCUGCUCUUUCUCUUUCUUCUUCUGUUGAAGAUCGAGAGACGAAUUUGGGAUAAAUCUUGAGAGGAUUAAAUCGUGAGGAUGUAUAAGAGAAGGAGGAGUUGGUGUUUCUGUUAAUAAUGAAUAAGAAAACUGAGUUGUUGUUACAAUUUAAGAUAUGGUUUCUGAAACUAGGAUUUGUGGAUUUGAUUGAUAUUAUGAAGACUUAGAAGAUGAAAUUAGAGUUGCAUGUGAAUGAUUAUAGAUGGGUAUGACAUGAAAUAGGGGAUACAGAAGUUAGGGUUUGUGAAAAGAUGAACUGAAUUAGGGUUCUUGAGUUGAUUAAGGAAUUGUGUAAAAUUGAAGAUGAAAGUGAAGGUUCAGAAGUCUAAUUGAAGAUGGGUUUGUUCUUAAUUGAUGUAUGAUUGAAUUUGUAGGGUUGUGUUAGUGUAAAAUCAUGAGUUAGGGUUCUGUUCUUCCUUAACUGAAAAUAGGGUUCUGUAUAUUAUUUGGAAUUCGAUUUGAGGAAGGAUUAAGAUGAGAUAGACGGAAUUACAAGAUGGGUUUGUUAAAUUGAAGAUUUUGAUUGUUGAUUUGGGUUCGAAUUAGAGAAGUGUUGACUUGAGGAUAACUUUAGGGUUUUGCUGAGAAUCAGUGAUGAAGUUGAUUAAUGAUGGGUAUUUGAAGAUUGAUUAAUUUAAGACUACAGCGGCUGGAAUUGAUGAAGUAACAACUCGGGGGAAGCUAUUAUCUGUGUAAGUCUUUAUGUUGCUUGAUUACAGUAAUUGAAGUUGAAUUACUAAGAUUCAUUGAGUUUAUAUAUUUGUGUUUGGAACUGAGGUUACGACGAAUUGGGUAUUUCCCUGUUGAUGCUUUGAAAUAUAUGAUAUGUGGGAAUGAAUUGAUUUGUUUGUAUACAUAUGGAUAUUGACUGGAGUUGAAGUAGACAUGGUGGUGUAAGGAUGUUUAUAGGUCCCUUGUGAAAUGAAGGUUCACAGUUUAACAUGGUGAUGCACUGAAGAUAAUUGAAUUGGUGCAGGUAUGUGAAUGGUGUUGCUGUCGUGUUGAAGUACAGGGGAACAAAUAUAUGUUACAUGGGGUAUGUAAUCGGAACUGCAAGUGGUAUGUUUUGUUGUGCAUCUGUUGAGUUGUUGGAAUGCAGGUUGUGAUUGUUAAGGAACUGAGAUAAAAUGAGGCAGUCAUUGUGUAGUUACAACCAUUGGAACUUAAAUGUGCAGUUGGUGAUAUCGAAUUGAUUUGGCAGUUCAAUGAAGGGGGUGAGAUGAACUCAGAACUAGUGAUGUUGUAGUAAUACGAGGAUUGCAAUGAGUUUGUGGAAGUGAGUGGUUGUAUUCUAGUUCAUUGUUGAAUAACAAGAUAGUUGCAAAAGGAGUUGAAUUGGUAGUGUAGAAAGACUAUGGCUUAGUACUGCAAUUGCAGUUUCAGAGACAAAUCAGAGUUGCGCAGCGGAAGCUUCGCGGAGUUGACUCCGUUAAUUAGUUAACUUCUGCUAUGUUUAUUAUGAUAUUUAUUCUAUUUGCAAACCAAAUGAUUAUUGUGUAUGUAUCAUUUGAGAGGAAUUCUUGUAUAUAUUUCAGAUAGGGGUUAGUUUUUGGGUUAAGUUUUGUAGUAGUUUUCUUAAUUGAAUGUUUAAGUAAAUGAUUUAGAUUCGUAGUGCC